GGCUAAGUCAAUAAAGUGGAACUGAUUGGAAGCUAGGACAGCAGCCAGCCUCACAUGCCACCACCCAGCACCAACAAAUAGGAGCUCCUUGCCUUUUAAGCACAGCCUUAUGAGGAAAUAUUGUCACAAUGAGCUACAGCUCAAGCCUGGUGUAAAGAGAAAAAUGAGCACAGGAAUAGCAGAUGAGUGAGUGUGUGCAGAAAAUUGCAAGGAGGAGCAAGACAGGAGCAACUGCAGUGGCUUCCAGGAGCCCCAUGGGGAGAAGAGGCUUUCAGAUACUAAAAAAAUAAGGAGAUCUCUUAGGAAGAA